UACGGAGGAUGCAAGCGUUAUCCGGAAUGAUUGGGCGUAAAGCGUCCGCAGGUGGCUGUGUAAGUCUGCUGUCAAAGAGCGAAGCUCAACUUCGUAAAGGCAGUGGAAACUACACGGCUAGAGUGCGUUCGGGGCAGAGGGAAUUCCUGGUGUAGCGGCGAAAUGCGUAGAGAUCAGGAAGAACACCGGUGGCGAAGGCGCUCUGCUAGGCCGCAACUGACACUGAGGGACGAAAGCUAGGGGAGCGAAUGAG
rnacentral:rRNA from 1 species